UACGUAGGGUGCAAGCGUUUAAUCGGAAUUACUGGGCGUAAAGCGUGCGCAGGCGGUUUUGUAAGUCUGACGUGAAAUCCCCGGGCUCAACCUGGGAAUUGCGUUGGAGACUGCAAGGCUAGAAUCUGGCAGAGGGGGGGUAGAAUUCCACGUGUAGCAGUGAAAUGCGUAGAUAUGUGGAGGAACACCGAUGGCGAAGGCAGCCCCCUGGGCCUGCACUGACGCUCAUGCACGAAAGCGUGGGGGAGCAAACGAGG
rnacentral:rRNA from 1 species